UUCUUUAUCCCGUUUGAGAAGUGCUUUUCCACCCAAAAGUGCUUUUCUCUUAAAAGCAGCAAAGAACGGCUUCCUUUUCUCAUCCAAUUUCUCCAUCAAAAAAGUGCUUCUCCCUAGAUGGAGAAGCUAAAAAAAUCUCCUUUUCUUCUGCUGUAAUUGCUUUUCGGUGAAAAUUGACCAAAUACCCCUGUCUUCUCCCCCAAACGUUUUUCCCCUCUGCUGGCUCCUUCUUUCCCCUCUGCUGGUGAAACCCAAUUUCUUUUCCCCAUUUUCAGCUUUCAAAGCUUUAUUUUCUGUUCUUUGUUCCUCUUCCGCAGCAGGUUAUUGCAAUUCCUGAGUAUAACCAUGCCAUAGGGUAUGCAUCAAUAGCAGAUUACAAUACACAGAAGCUUCCCCAGAAACAAUUUGUGAAUGGGCAGAGGUGAGGUUGAUUUUAGUGACCAAUCCUUUUUUGCUUAUUUUUCGCUUAUUUGUAUAUGUAAAUUGGCUGCAGUAAUCUUUACAACGUUGUAAUUGGUGUUUGGAGUUAAUAUCCUCCAUUGUUUAAUUGCUUCAAUAGCAGCUCCAUUUUGUCUUAUGGAUAAGGUGUCAUUUUCAUUUUGUUUGGUUUCUUUUCAAGUCCUGUAGUGUUCUUGAAUGCUUGUUGUGGAUGUGUUACUAAUGCCUAUCAAGCUUAAAUACACUCGAAAUGAUUGAUGCAGGGUUAUUGC